rnacentral:rRNA from 1 species
UUACUACUUGGAUAACCGUGGUAAUUCUAGAGCUAAUACAUGCUAAAAACCUCGACUUCGGAAGGGGUGUAUUUAUUAGAUAAAAAACCAAUGCCCUUCGGGGCUCCUUGGUGAUUCAUGAUAACUUAACGAAUCGCAUGGCCUUGUGCCGGCGAUGGUUCAUUCAAAUUUCUGCCCUAUCAACUUUCGAUGGUAGGAUAGUGGCCUACCAUGGUUUCAACGGGUAACGGGGAAUUAGGGUUCUAUUCCGGAGAGGGAGCCUGAGAAACGGCUACCACAUCCAAGGAAGGCAGCAGGCGCGCAAAUUACCCAAUCCCGACACGGGGAGGUAGUGACAAUAAAUACUGAUACGGAGCUCUUUUGGGUUUCGUAAUUGGAAUGAGUACAAUUUAAAUCCCUUAACGAGGAACAAUUGGAGGGCAAGUCUGGUGCCAGCAGCCGCGGUAAUUCCAGCUCCAAUAGCGUAUAUUAAAGUUGUUGCAGUUAAAAAGCUCGUAGUUGAACCUUGGGCCUGGCUGGCCGGUCCGCCUCACCGCGUGCACUGGUCCGGCCGGGCCUUUCCUUCUGGGGAACCGCAUGCCCUUCACUGGGUGUGUCGGGGAUCCAGGACUUUUACUUUGAAAAAAUUAGAGUGUUCAAAGCAGGCCUAUGCUCGAAUACAUUAGCAUGGAAUAAUAGAAUAGGACGUGUGGUUCUAUUUUGUUGGUUUCUAGGACCGCCGUAAUGAUUAAUAGGGAUAGUCGGGGGCAUCAGUAUUCAAUUGUCAGAGGUGAAAUUCUUGGAUUUAUUGAAGACUAACUACUGCGAAAGCAUUUGCCAAGGAUGUUUUCAUUAAUCAGUGAACGAAAGUUAGGGGAUCGAAGACGAUCAGAUACCGUCGUAGUCUUAACCAUAAACUAUGCCGACUAGGGAUCGGGCGAUGUUAUUAUUUUGACUCGCUCGGCACCUUACGAGAAAUCAAAGUUUUUGGGUUCUGGGGGGAGUAUGGUCGCAAGGCUGAAACUUAAAGAAAUUGACGGAAGGGCACCACCAGGAGUGGAGCCUGCGGCUUAAUUUGACUCAACACGGGGAAACUCACCAGGUCCAGACACAAUAAGGAUUGACAGAUUGAGAGCUCUUUCUUGAUUUUGUGGGUGGUGGUGCAUGGCCGUUCCUAGUUGGUGG